AGACAGUAGACAUCAGUAGAUCUCUGCCCUGUCUGCCUCUCUAUGUUACAAAAUGUUUUCCUCAGCCUUCCUUAGUAGCAGUGAUCCUGGCUGUAACUUGUGCUUUCAACCAGCAGUUUCUUAUCUUCUGUAGAUUCAUGUUCAGGUAUUUGAGUUUUGGUUUUUUAAAAUGUCUUUUUAGGGGGUAGAAGAAAAGAAAUCUGAAAUUCCACCUCUCAAGGGAGCCAAGAAGCCUGGUACCAGCAAGUUGAGGGUACUCAAGGACAACUCACCUGGUGAUGGAGGCAAACAAGCUGCCACUCAUUGUUGGCAAACCAGAAGAAGAUGAGGCAGAGGAUGGGGACAUCUAGGAAGCCAGCGUAGCUCAGCAGCAAUGAAUGGGAUAAUUAUUCAGAGGGAUUCCUCCCCAGCAGAUGCCAUUCUUGCCUGCCACUCAGAAAUCGUUCCUUCUAGGUUUUGUGAUGUUUCCUUGGCAGUUGUCAAAAGCGAUA